AUCCAGAUGAUGAGUCCCAAACAAGACGAAACGCGUACUCUGGAU
rnacentral:hammerhead_ribozyme from 1 species